CUAAGAAUAUUCCGCAAUGGACGAAAGUCUGACGGAGCGACGCCGCGUGGAUGACGAAGGCCGAAAGGUUGUAAAGUCCUUUUGUCGAUGAAGAAUAAUUGUGGGAGGGAAUGCCCGCAAGAUGACGUUAGUCGGCGAAUAAGCCCCGGCUAAUUACGUGCCAGCAGCCGCGGUAACCAGUAAGGGGCAAGCGUUGUUCGGAAUUAUUGGGCGUAAAGGGUACGUAGGCGGUUUGGUAAGCCCGGCGUGAAAUCCUGCAGCUUAACUGUAGAGCUGCGCUGGGAACUGCGAAACUUGAGUCAUGGAAGGGGAGUUAGAAUUCCAGGUGUAGGGGUGAAAUCUGUAGAUAUCUGGAAGAAUACCGGUGGCGAAGGCGAACUCCUGGCCAAUGACUGACGCUGAGGUACGAAAGUGCGGGGAGCAAACA
rnacentral:rRNA from 1 species